CUUUCUUUGCUGGCGACCUGCGCACGGGUGAGUAACACGUAUCCAACCUGCCCUUUACUCGGGGAUAGCCUUUCGAAAGAAAGAUUAAUACCCGAUAGCAUAAUGAUUCCGCAUGGUUUCAUUAUUAAAGGAUUCCGGUAAAGGAUGGGGAUGCGUUCCAUUAGGUUGUUGGUGAGGUAACGGCCCACCAAGCCUUCGAUGGAUAGGGGUUCUGAGAGGAAGGUCCCCCACAUUGGAACUGAGACACGGUCCAA
rnacentral:rRNA from 1 species